GAUUCCCUAGUACGGCGAGUGAGCGGGAAGAGCUCAAAUUUGAAAUCUGGUAGCCUUCGGCUGCCCGAGUUGUAAUCUAGAGAAGUGUUUUCCGUGCCGGCCCAUGUACAAGUCCCUUGGAACAGGGCGUCAUAGAGGGUGAGAAUCCCGUCCUUGACAUGGACCCCCGGUGCUUUGUGAUACACUUUCAACGAGUCGAGUUGUUUGGGAAUGCAGCUCAAAAUGGGUGGUGAAUUCCAUCUAAAGCUAAAUAUUGGCGAGAGACCGAUAGCGAACAAGUACCGUGAGGGAAAGAUGAAAAGCACUUUGGAAAGAGAGUUAAACAGUACGUGAAAUUGUUGAAAGGGAAACGAUUGAAGUCAGUCAUGCUCUUUGGAUUCAGCCGUUCUGCGGUGUAUUUCCAUUGAGUGGGGUCAACAUCAGUUUUGACCGCUGGAUAAAGGCACUAGGAAGGUAGCACUCUCGGGUGAACUUAUAGCCUAGCGUCAUAUACAGUGGUUGGGACUGAGGAACGCAGCAUGCCUUUAUGGCCGGGAUUCGUCCACGUACAUGCUUAGGAUGUUGACAUAAUGGCUUUAAACGAC
rnacentral:rRNA from 1 species